GGGAUCCAUCAUGCUAGCUCCUGAGAGUUCACAGCUUCUCUGCUGGCGUCCUGCUUCAUCUCAGACUGCCUCUCCCCACCUCUGCCUUCACUUUGAAGACCAGAUAGCCAGCUGGCUCAGCCACAGAGUUCAUACUUCUUCAUGGCAACAAAGUAGCGGAUGAAAGUCUCUCCCAGAGCCUGCUUCAGACACUCAUCUUGCUCUAGGGCAGCAAGAGCAUCUUCCAUCUUCAAAGGGAUCUCGGAAGGUUCUGGUUGAUAGAGAUCCUGGCUCUCAUCAGCACCAUCACUGCUCUGAAGACCAUCCAAGCCUGCUGCCACAGUGGCCGCCAACACCAAGGUUUGGCAUCAAUUCCAGAUACCCACGGGGCAUGAAAACUCCAUGGAUCACUUUUUCCUGAAGAAUAAAAAGGACAGAUUAACUAGGUUCUAAAACCUGAAGAUAAAACGUGAAGAUAAACAAAACAGGAGAAGAAGAUCUUGAUAAUAAGAAUGGGAAGCAUAAUAUCUGUGAAUUAACAUUAACUAUCAGGUAAAGUUUUUAAAAUUCAAAAUAGAUAUCAAAAAUGAAAUACUGAAAGAACUAUUCUUCUUAAAGACCUUCUGACAAUUUUUAAUAUUUUAACACAAGCCUUGAUAUGAUUUUAGAUGUGGAAAACAGCAAUCAUAACUGUUUCACGUAGCUACACAUAAAUGUUCUAAGGAUAAAGAAAGUCACUAUACAGCAAAAGACAAGGGUUUAUAAUUUUACAGAAAUACUUAAAAUUAUAAAUAAAAAACUUUA